rnacentral:misc_RNA from 1 species
GAAAUGCGAUAAGUAAUGUGAAUUGCAGAAUUCAGUGAAUCAUCGAAUCUUUGAACGCACAUUGCGCCCGCGAGUAUUCUCGCGGGCAUGCCUGUCCGAGCGUCAUUUCAACCCUCAGGGCCCGCCUGCUUGCAGGCGCGGCGCUGGCGUUGGGGAUCGGCCCUAACCGGUCGUCCCCCAAAUACAGUGGCGGUCUCGCUGCAGCCUCCCCUGCGUAGUAGCAACACUCGCAUGCGGAGCGCGGCGCGGCCACGCCGUAAAACCCCCGACUUUCUGAACGUUGACCUCGGAUCAGGUAGGAAUACCCGCUGAACUUAA